rnacentral:tRNA from 1 species
UGGUGUAUAGCCAAAGGGAAAGGCAGUGGCUUUUGAUGCUAUCAUUUAAAGGUUCGAAUCCUUUUACACCAG